rnacentral:rRNA from 1 species
CGGAGGGGGCGAGCGUUAUUCGGAAUUAUUGGGCGUAAAGGGCGCGUAGGCGGCUCUUUAAGUCAAAGGUGAAAUCCCUCGGCUCAACUGAGGAACUGCCUUUGAAACUGAGGAGCUUGAGUCCGGGAGGGGGUAGCGGAAUUCCCAGUGUAGCGGUGAAAUGCGUAGAUACUGGGAGGAACACCAGUGGCGAAGGCGGCUACCUGGACCGGAACUGACGCUGAUGCGCGAAAGCGUGGGUAGCAAACAGGAUUAGAUACCCUGGUAGUCCACGCUGUAAACGAUGGGUGCUCGGUGUCGCGGGUAUCGACCCCUGCGGUGCCUUAGCUAACGCGUUAAGCACCCCGCCUGGGGAGUACGGUCGCAAGGCUG